rnacentral:rRNA from 1 species
UUAAAUUGAAGAGUUUGAUCAUGGCUCAGAUUGAACGCUGGCGGCAGGCCUAACACAUGCAAGUCGAACGGUAACAGGAAGAAGCUUGCUUCUUUGCUGACGAGUGGCGGACGGGUGAGUAAUGUCUGGGAAACUGCCUGAUGGAGGGGGAUAACUACUGGAAACGGUAGCUAAUACCGCAUAACGUCGCAAGACCAAAGAGGGGGACCUUCGGGCCUCUUGCCAUCGGAUGUGCCCAGAUGGGAUUAGCUAGUAGGUGGGGUAACGGCUCACCUAGGCGACGAUCCCUAGCUGGUCUGAGAGGAUGACCAGCCACACUGGAACUGAGACACGGUC